UAAGAACUUUUAGGCUAGCAAGAAGUUUAAAAAGAAACCUUCCAUUCUGCUACCUUUAACCUUUAACCUCCCCCCCUGAAUAAAACUCUACACGGACAAAAUGGGUGACCCUAAUCAUAUCAAGAAAGGGAAAGAAAGAAAGAACACCGAAUCUCUGACUUUGUAAAGCCUGCAAGAGACAUUCUAAGCUACAAAAUUAAUCACUACUUCAGCAUCUCGACUAGAAAUGGUACUGGAUUGCUGUUACUUAAUAUGCUGGCAAGAUAGAGCAAGGUUCAAUUGCAGGUGUUACAGCAGAAUACAAUCAGGAAGAUAUUCAUGCUUCUGUUAAGGUCGAUGUUGACUCAAAAUUACCAAUUUCACAACCUUACAUUGAGCAUCGCCGACCAUGAAGGAUACAUUUUCACUGAUAUUGCCAGAUCAUAGCUCUAAAAGGUGCAGCUUCUAGUUCCGUAUAAAGUAGAAUACUUCUACAAAAAUGCUGCUUUAUCUACGAGACUUCCUUCAACCAGCCGCCAUAUAAUUCAGCUUUCUGCAACUUUUGGUGCUCCACACCUUGCAUUUGGUAUGGAGACGCCAUACAAUCUUGCUUCAAAGAGAUUUCACGAAUUUAACGCAGGCAUUAGAGUGACAAAACCAAAUUUUGAUGGAUCAAUUACUUUGACAAACAAGGGUAUCUUACUAUGGGCAUCAUAUGCUCAUUAUUUUGAUCAUGAGAAAGUUGCAGAAGCAGCAGUGGUCUCUCGGAUGCUUUCAGAAAAGGAGAAUGUUCUUGUAGUUGGAGGAACAUGGAUUAUGGAUGAUAAAACGACAGUUAAGGCAAGGUUUGACAGUCGUGGGAAGCUGGUUACUCUCCUGCAUCAUAAAAUCAAACCCAAGACAUGCAUUAAAAUUUCUAGUGAAUUUGACCCCAAAGCCCUUGACAGGAUUCCCAUAAUCAGAUAUGGUCUCUCUCUCUCGAAAUCUGAAAGGUUUCCAUUUUCAGUUGUGUGGUCCAGCUGAUGGAAUUCUGAUCGUUCAAUACCUUCUGCUGGUGCUUUGAAAGAAAGGCAAACAAAUACACUGCUUUUACCAUGUCCAUAACAUAUAUAGUUACUGGUAAGGAGGCUUGAACUAGACUUUCCUUUGUCUUCUGUUAGAAAUCCAACAGCUGAAAAGUUCCUAUGACCAUUUACCUAAACCCUGAUUCACUUGAGCAGUUAGUCUGCCUUGUGCACUACAAAAGUACACUUUUUUCAAGCAAUCAUAUUUUUGGUUGUCUUAGAUUGUCUUGUGCCUCUUAAUGUGAGUCAUUGUUUUGACCA